GAGCAAGGUCGCCAUGCAACUUCUCAACUGAAACAUUAGCUCCCUCGACGCCUCGACACUUAUUCUCGUUACCAGCUACAAGAUCUUCUUUGUUGCCUAUUGUCGGCCACUUCACCUCUUUUUGACCAACCCAACAAUGAAUGUCCCACACCUUUGAAAUGAAACCAAACAGGAUCACUCCUGUACUCCCUAUGGAUGUGCCUUGCCACACCAUAUUGAAAAUAUAAAUCUCUACCAAAGGGCGCC
rnacentral:lncRNA from 1 species